AGCAGCCGCGGUAAUUCCAGCUCCAAUAGCGUAUAUUAAAGUUGUUGCAGUUAAAAAGCUCGUAGUUGAAUUUCGGGAUUAACGUGAUGGUCGUGCCUUAAGGGGUAUGAACUGUCGCUGUUGAUUUCUCACCUUCUGGAGAAACUUGAUGUCCUUAAUUGGGUGUCUUGCGGAUCCAGGACCUUUACCUUGAAAAAAUUAGAGUGUUUAAAGCAGGCAUUUUUGCUCGAAUACAUUAGCAUGGAAUAAUAGAAUAGGACGGCAUGGUUCUAUUUUGUUGGUUUCUAGGACCACCGUAAUGAUUAAUAGGGAUAGUUGGGGGCAUUAGUAUUCAAUUGUCAGAGGUGAAAUUCUUGGAUUUAUUGAAGACUAACUACUGCGAAAGCAUUUGCCAAGGAUGUUUUCAUUAAUCAAGAACGAAAGUUAGGGGAUCGAAGACGAUCAGAUACCGUCGUAGUCUUAACCAUAAACUAUGCCGACUAGGAAUCAGACGAUGUUAAUUUUUUAAUGACUCGUUUGGCACCUUACG
rnacentral:rRNA from 1 species